AGCGCAGGUGGGCUGUCAAGUCUGUCUUAAAAGUGCGGGGCUUAACCCCGUGAUGGGAUAGAAACUGGCAGUCUUGAGUGCAGGAGAGGAAAGCGGAAUUCCUAGUGUAGCGGUGAAAUGCGUAGAUAUUAGGAGGAACACCAGGGCGAAGGCGGCUUUCUGGACUGUAACUGACACUGAGGCUCGAAAGCCAGGGGAGCGAACG
rnacentral:rRNA from 1 species